AGUGAACGCUGGCGGUAGGCCUAACACAUGCAAGUCGAACGGCAGCACAGUAAGAGCUUGCUCUUACGGGUGGCGAGUGGCGGACGGGUGAGGAAUACAUCGGAAUCUACUUUUUCGUGGGGGAUAACGUAGGGAAACUUACGCUAAUACCGCAUACGACCUACGGGUGAAAGCAGGGGAUCUUCGGACCUUGCGCGAUUGAAUGAGCCGAUGUCGGAUUAGCUAGUUGGCGGGGUAAAGGCCCACCAAGGCGACGAUCCGUAGCUGGUCUGAGAGGAUGAUCAGCCACACUGGAACUGAGACACGGUCCAGACUCCUACGGGAGGCAGCAGUGGGGAAUAUUGGACAAUGGGCGCAAGCCUGAUCCAGCCAUACCGCGUGGGUGAAGAAGGCCUUCGGGUCGUAAAGCCCUUUUGUUGGGAAAGAAAAACAGCAGGUUAAUACCCCGCUGUUCUGACGGUACCCAAAGAAUAAGCACCGGCUAACUUCGUG
rnacentral:rRNA from 1 species